GCCGCAGUAGCCCAAUUGGUAGAGGCGACCGAUUCAGGAUCGGGAGGUUGGGGGUUCGAAUCCCUCGUGCGGUA
rnacentral:tRNA from 1 species